rnacentral:rRNA from 1 species
AGUGAACGCUGGCGGUAGGCCUAACACAUGCAAGUCGAACGGCAGCACAGUAAGAGCUUGCUCUUACGGGUGGCGAGUGGCGGACGGGUGAGGAAUACAUCGGAAUCUACUUUUUCGUGGGGGAUAACGUAGGGAAACUUACGCUAAUACCGCAUACGACCUACGGGUGAAAGCAGGGGAUCUUCGGACCUUGCGCGAUUGAAUGAGCCGAUGUCGGAUUAGCUAGUUGGCGGGGUAAAGGCCCACCAAGGCGACGAUCCGUAGCUGGUCUGAGAGGAUGAUCAGCCACACUGGAACUGAGACACAGUCCAGACUCCUACGGGAGGCAGCAGUGGGGAAUAUUGGACAAUGGGCGCAAGCCUGAUCCAGCCAUACCGCGUGGGUGAAGAAGGCCUUCGGGUUGUAAAGCCCUUUUGUUGGGAAAGAAAGGCAGCAGGUUAAUACCCCGCUGUUCUGACGGUACCCAAAGAAUAAGCACCGGCUAACUUCGUG